AUUAUGUCUUCACCUUUCUUUUGGGAUUAAAUAUCGUAGACAACUGUAGCAUAAGCCAACUAUCAAAUUAAUAAUUUGUUUGAUUGAUUUUGUCAAAAUACUCUCCUUAUCUCUUGUAACAAACUAGCGAAAUGAUUGAAUCUGAGGAUCAUAGUCAAGUUUAUCGAUAGGCUAUUUGAACUUAAUUGAAAGUCUUUUCAAAGCUCAUAAACCAACCUUGAAGUCAGCCACAUCGUAGCUGUUCGUACUAUUUGUGUGUUUUGCUCAAAACAAUCACCAGCGCGCCACCAUAAACGAAGUCUGACGACCUUGCAUCACGGCAAUCAGGGUUCCGUUUCGACCCAACGUAAUGGUCCCUAGAUAAUCUAUCAUUUCCGUUCAUGUCAUUGAGCCAUCUUCGUUUGCUUGUUCUAAGCGGCAGCGGACCUCGGACAUAUUGUUAGAAGAUCUUUGUUGAAUCUCCAUUAUUUUGGUCAACUACCCUUCUCUAAAGCCGUUGCUUUAACCCGGUUCGAUAGCUCUAGUCGGUUGUCUUUGAUAAACUCCCAACAGCUUCUAAGGUUUGCCUACAUAUAAUGGACGAUUUCGUUUUUGUUUUGCGUUGCUUGCUGAAAUAAGGUGUUAAAGAGCUUAAAAUGCGGGUUUUAUGGAGCUUGGAUGGAUGCUAGAAGUUGGCGGUGUUGGGAUUGAAGAAAUGGUGAAUUAAAUGAAGGAAACAAGGAAAAACUAACACUCAGCGCCGUAACCUACGGCACUUGGCCGUAGGUUACGGCCCCAACCUUUGCAAAAAGCCUUCGCCGUAACAUAGAAGCCACCCGCCAUAAGGGAAAGCUGCCCGCCGUAACCUACGGCCCUCUGUCGUAGGUUACGCCACUGACUGAUCCAAUUUUGUAACUUAUGCAUUAAAUUGUCAUUUCAUGGGUUUUUAUGGUGGCUCAUCAUAUGUUUUCGGUUACCACUUGUCUUGGGAACGAUUUUGGGAGCAAUUUUUGGAGACUUGGGCUUGAAGAACACUUGUUUAAUCAUUAGUUUUUGUGAUUUGAUCUUUAUGAACAAUAGAACUUUUGUUAUGAUGUUGCUUCAAGCCAUGAGUGGCUAAACACUUGAUGAUUGUCCUGGAUUGAAGGUUUGUUUGAGACAUUUCAUGUUUGUUUUUUCUAAUUUCUAGAAUAACAAUCUUUAUCUUUA